AGAGUUUGAUCCUGGCUCAGGAUGAACGCUAGCGACAGGCUUAACACAUGCAAGUCGAGGGGCAGCGGGGUAGUGCUUGCACUACUGCCGGCGACCGGCGCACGGGUGAGUAACACGUAUGGAACCUGCCCGCAGCAGGGGGGUAAGCGGAAGAAAUUCCGUCUAAUACCGCGUAACAACGUUGGGAGGCAUCUCCCGAUGUUUAAAGAUUUAUCGGCUGCGGAUGGCCAUGCAGCGCAUUAGCUGGUCGGCGGGGUAACGGCCCACCGAGGCGACGAUGCGUAGGGGUUCUGAGAGGAAGGCCCCCCACACUGGUACUGAGACACGGACCAGACUCCUACGGGAGGCAGCAGUGAGGAAUAUUGGUCAAUGGGCGGGAGCCUGAACCAGCCGAGCCGCGUGAGGGAAGAAGGUACAGCGUAUCGUAAACCUCUUUUGUCAGGGAACAAAGGCGGGGACUAGUCCCCGGAUGAGGGUACCUGAAGAAAAAGCAUCGGCUAACUCCGUGCCAGCAGCCGCGGUAAUACGGAGGAUGCGAGCGUUAUCCGGAUUUAUUGGGUUUAAAGGGUGCGCAGGCGGCCUGUUAAGUCAGCGGUAAAAGCCCGGGGCUCAACCCCGGCGAGCCGUUGAAACUGGCGGGCUGGAGUUGGAGAGAAGUACGCGGAAUGCGCGGUGUAGCGGUGAAAUGCUUAGAUAUCGCGCAGAACCCCGAUUGCGAAGGCAGCGUACCGGCUCCACACUGACGCUGAGGCACGAAAGCGUGGGUAUCGAACAGGAUUAGAUACCCUGGUAGUCCACGCAGUAAACGAUGAAUGCUUGCUGUCCGGGCAGAGAUAUGCCUGGGGGGCGAAGCGAAAGCGAUAAGCAUUCCACCUGGGGAGUACGCCGGCAACGGUGAAACUCAAAGGAAUUGACGGGGGCCCGCACAAGCGGAGGAACAUGUGGUUUAAUUCGAUGAUACGCGAGGAACCUUACCCGGGCUCAAACGGGAGGCGGCAGGGGCAGAGACGCCCCUUUCCCUCGGGACGUCUUCCGAGGUGCUGCAUGGUUGUCGUCAGCUCGUGCCGUGAGGUGUCGGCUUAAGUGCCAUAACGAGCGCAACCCCCGCGUGCAGUUGCCAGCAGGAAAGGCUGGGGACUCUGCACGGACUGCCGGCGCAAGCCGCGAGGAAGGCGGGGAUGACGUCAAAUCAGCACGGCCCUUACGUCCGGGGCGACACACGUGUUACAAUGGGGGGUACAGCGGGAAGCCAGGCGGCGACGCCGAGCGGAACCCGAAAGCCCCUCUCAGUUCGGAUCGGAGUCUGCAACCCGACUCCGUGAAGCUGGAUUCGCUAGUAAUCGCGCAUCAGCCAUGGCGCGGUGAAUACGUUCCCGGGCCUUGCACUCAACGCCCGUCA
rnacentral:rRNA from 1 species